rnacentral:rRNA from 1 species
ACGCUCGACACCUACGGGAGGCAGCAGUGAGGAAUAUUGGUCAAUGGACGCAAGUCUGAACCAGCCAUGCCGCGUGCAGGAUGACGGCUCUAUGAGUUGUAAACUGCUUUUGUACGAGGGUAAACGCAGAUACGUGUAUCUGUCUGAAAGUNUCGUACGAAUAAGGAUCGGCUAACUCCGUGCCUGCAGCCGCGGUAAUCUGAGCGGGCUGGCAAGGC